rnacentral:lncRNA from 7 species
UAGCGUUAGGGUUAGGGUUAGGAUUAGCGUUAGGGUUAGGGUUAGGCAUAGGGUAAGUUUAUGGUAAGGGUAGGGUUAGGGAUAGGGUUACGUUAGGGUUAGGGUUACGUUAGUGUUAGGGUUACGGUUAGGCUUAGGGUUAGCAUUCUGUUCAGGGUUAGGGUUAGGCUUAGGGUUAGGGUUAGUGAUAGGGUUUGGGUUAGGCAUAGGGUAAGUUUGGUGUAAGUGUAGGGUUAGGGAUAGGGAUAGCGAUAUUGUUAGGCUUAGGCUUACUGUUAGGGUUAGUGUUAAGAUUAGGGUUAAAGUAAGGUUAGGGUUAGGCUUAGGGUUAGGCUUAGUGUUAAGGUUAGGGUUAAAGUAAGUUUAGGGUUAGGGUUAGGCUUAGGGUUAUGGUUGGGUUGGGUUAGCAUUAGGUUCGGGUAGGAUUAGGGUUAGGGUAAAUUUAGGGUAAGUGUGGGUUAGGGAUAGGGUAGGGUUAGGAGGGUUAGGUUAUUAGGGUUAGGUUAGGUUAUGUUAGUGUUAGGGUUAGGUUAGGGUAGUGCUAGCAUUAUAUUCAGGGUUAGGGUUAGGGUAGGGUUAGGGUAAUUUAGGGUAAAUGUAGCUUUAUGGAUUGGGAUAGCGUUAGUUAGGGUUAGGGAUAGGGUUAGGGUUAGGGUUACUGUUAGGUUCAGGGAUAGGUUAGGGUUAUGGUUAGGGUUAGGAGUAGGGUUAAGGUUUAGUUAGUGUUCUGUUGGCUUAUGGUUAGGGGUAGGUUAGUUGGAUUAGGUUUAGGGUUCGCUUAGGGUAGAUUAGGGUAUGGCUUCUGUUAGUGUUAGGGUUAUUGAUGGUUAGGGUUAUGGUUCGUGUAGGGUAGGCUUGAGGUUAUAGUAUGGGUUUGGGUAGGUAAGGGUUAGGGCUACGUUUAAAGUUAUAUUUUUCGUUGAGUUAGGGUUAGGGUAAGGUUUAAGGUUAAGGUUAGGGUUACGGUAAGUAUUAGGGUUAGGGAAAGUGUAAGGUUCAGGGAAAUAGGUUUAGUGUUACGGUAUGGGUAGGAUUAGGCUUAGGGUUAGUUUAGGGUUAGGGUUGGGUUAGUGAUGGGGUUAGGUUAGGUUACGGUUAGGGUUAGGGUUAGGCUUACGUUAGGUUAGCGUUAGUGUUAUGUUAGGGUCAGGGUUGGGGUAGGUUUAGUCUAUGCUUAGGUUAGGGUUAGGUUUAGUGUUAGGGUAGGGUUAGGGUUAGGGUUAGGGUUAGGGUUCGGUUUAGGGUUAGUGUUGGGGUUAGGGUUAGGUUAGGUUAGGUUAGGGUUAGGGUUGGGGUAGGUUAGGGUUGGGUUAGGGUUUGGGUUAGGUUUAGGGUUACGGUUAGGAUUAGUGUAGGGUUAGGGUUAGGGUUUGGGUUAGGGUUAGCGUUAGGGU